CUGUAAGCCUGCGAAGGUGGCCUGUGAGGGUUGCUGGAGGUAUCAGAAGUGCGAAUGCUGACAUAAGUAACGAUAAAGCGGGUGAAAAGCCCGCUCGCCGGAAGACCAAGGGUUCCUGUCCAACGUUAAUCGGGGCAGGGUGAGUCGACCCCUAAGGCGAGGCCGAAAGGCGUAGUCGAUGGGAAACGGGUUAAUAUUCCCGUACUUGGUGUUACUGCGAAGGGGGGACGGAGAAGGCUAUGUUGGCCGGGCGACGGUUGUCCCGGUUUAAGCGUGUAGGUGUGUGUUCCAGGUAAAUCCGGUUCACUUUAACACUGAGGCGUGACGACGAGGCACUACGGUGCUGAAGCAACAAAUGCCCUGCUUCCAGGAAAAGCCUCUAAGCAUCAGGUAACAUCAAAUCGUACCCCAAACCGACACAGGUGGUCAGGUAGAGAAUACCAAGGCGCUUGAGAGAACUCGGGUGAAGGAACUAGGCAAAAUGGUGCCGUAACUUCGGGAGAAGGCACGCUGACACGUAGGUGAAGUGAUUUACUCAUGGAGCUGAAGUCAGUCGAAGAUACCAGCUGGCUGCAACUGUUUAUUAAAAACACAGCACUGUGCAAACACGAAAGUGGACGUAUACGGUGUGACGCCUGCCCGGUGCCGGAAGGUUAAUUGAUGGGGUCAGCGCAAGCGAAGCUCCUGAUCGAAGCCCCGGUAAACGGCGGCCGUAACUAUAACGGUCCUAAGGUAGCGAAAUUCCUUGUCGGGUAAGUUCCGACCUGCACGAAUGGCGUAAUGAUGGCCAGGCUGUCUCCACCCGAGACUCAGUGAAAUUGAACUCGCUGUGAAGAUGCAGUGUACCCGCGGCAAGACGGAAAGACCCCGUGAACCUUUACUAUAGCUUGACACUGAACAUUGAGCCUUGAUGUGUAGGAUAGGUGGGAGGCUUUGAAGUGUGGACGCCAGUCUGCAUGGAGCCGACCUUGAAAUACCACCCUUUAAUGUUUGAUGUUCUAACGUGGACCCGUUACCCGGGUUGCGGACAGUGUCUGGUGGGUAGUUUGACUGGGGCGGUCUCCUCCUAAAGAGUAACGGAGGAGCACGAAGGUUGGCUAAUCCUGGUCGGACAUCAGGAGGUUAGUGCAAUGGCAUAAGCCAGCUUGACUGCGAGCGUGACGGCGCGAGCAGGUGCGAAAGCAGGUCAUAGUGAUCCGGUGGUUCUGAAUGGAAGGGCCAUCGCUCAACGGAUAAAAGGUACUCCGGGGAUAACAGGCUGAUACCGCCCAAGAGUUCAUAUCGACGGCGGUGUUUGGCACCUCGAUGUCGGCUCAUCACAUCCUGGGGCUGAAGUAGGUCCCAAGGGUAUGGCUGUUCGCCAUUUAAAGUGGUACGCGAGCUGGGUUUAGAACGUCGUGAGACAGUUCGGUCCCUAUCUGCCGUGGGCGCUGGAGAACUGAGGGGGGCUGCUCCUAGUACGAGAGGACCGGAGUGGACGCAUCACUGGUGUUCGGGUUGUCAUGCCAAUGGCACUGCCCGGUAGCUAAAUGCGGAAGAGAUAAGUGCUGAAAGCAUCUAAGCACGAAACUUGCCCCGAGAUGAGUUCUCCCUGAGACUUAAAGUCUCCUGAAGGAACGUUGAAGACGACGACGUUGAUAGGCCGGGUGUGUAAGCGCAGCGAUGCGUUGAGCUAACCGGUACUAAUGAACCGUGAGGCUUAACCUUACAACGCCGAAG
rnacentral:rRNA from 1 species